rnacentral:rRNA from 1 species
AGUGAACGCUGGCGGUAGGCCUAACACAUGCAAGUCGAACGGCAGCACAGUAAGAGCUUGCUCUUACGGGUGGCGAGUGGCGGACGGGUGAGGAAUACAUCGGAAUCUACUUUUUCGUGGGGGAUAACGUAGGGAAACUUACGCUAAUACCGCAUACGACCUACGGGUGAAAGCAGUGGAUCUUCGGACCUUGCGCGAUUGAAUGAGCCGAUGUCGGAUUAGCUAGUUGGCGGGGUAAAGGCCCACCAAGGCGACGAUCCGUAGCUGGUCUGAGAGGAUGAUCAGCCACACUGGAACUGAGACACGGUCCAGACUCCUACGGGAGGCAGCAGUGGGGAAUAUUGGACAAUGGGCGCAAGCCUGAUCCAGCAAUACCGCGUGAGUGAAGAAGGCCUUCGGGUUGUAAAGCCCUUUUGUUGGGAAAGAAAAGCAGCAGGUUAAUACCCCGCUGUUCUGACGGUACCCAAAGAAUAAGCACCGGCUAACUUCGUG